AUGUUUGAUGUAGUUUUGUAUAAACUUUUUCCAAACUUCCUCUAUAGAUCUAGGACUUUUGGUGUCUUUUUAUGGAAAACUAAUUUGAUUUUCGAAAUAAGGGUGGAGAUCCGAGCGAGACUGAAAAAAAUUUCAAAAAACGAACAAUGUUCGCGGUGGCGCCACCACGCCGGUCGCAGGUCACCACCGCGAACCAUCACCUCCCUCCGGCCAUUUCUUCUCUUUUUCUCUAUUAUUUUGUUUUUUUUUUUUUUUUUUUU